GGACAGAAUGCUGAGCCACCCAUAAUAAAAUACCAGGAAUUGGUCAGAAAAUAAGUGUACACAGAGACAGCAGGGCACAGAGAGACACAGACAGCACCAGCUCCAAGGGAAGAAAGGAGGCACCGAGAGGAACAAUAAGUCUUGAAAACAGAUCUCAUAGAUCCAGGUAUACAGGAGGUGUGGAUCCACUUGUGUUAGUUACAAUGUAUCAGUGACAAUACUGUAACAAGGCAUUGUGUGAGCAUGUGUAGGGAAUAAUAGGGGGUCUGGAAGAAUAGGAAAUUGGGGUACCAUUAGACUGGAUUGAUGGUUACCAUAGGGACUGGUAGAUGCAGUGAGGAAUUAAGGUGACUGACUGUGUGAUUCUCUUCUUCCAAUCUCCUAGUAUUCAAUGUGUUUAACCCAGGCAGGGCAAGAGGACUGCUUGUGAGUAAUUGGGGAUUUUGAAGGAGUAUAAUGGCUUCUAACACUCAUAGGGCUAAUAAUGUAGUAUGAUUUGAGGGUGAGUGGGAGUUUCUUAUUUAGGAUAAUUGGUGGAGAAGAGUAUGUAGAUGUGUUUUUAACACCCCUGUUGAACUAGCUAAUCACUCCCUGACUGAUCUGGCUGAGGGUAAUUGGAGUAGCAGUCCAGCAGUAGCUGAGGGAAGAUGGGAUUUCUGUGACUAAUGUGCCGUGUUUGCUUAUAUAUUGCCGGCUCUCUUCCAUACAGAUUAAUCCCAGGAUUUUACUAGAAGAGGGAGAUUGUCCCUCAGUCAUGUUUCCCCCUGACUCUUCCUGGAACAUUUCCUUUGCUGGCUGUGGCUUCCUGGGGAUCUAUCACAUUGGAGUGGCCAGCUGCCUGAAGGAACAUGCGCCUUUCCUGGUAGAGAAUGCUAAGAACAUCUAUGGAGCGUCUGCUGGAGCCCUCACUGCUACUGCCCUGGUCAGUGGAGCUUGCCUGGGUGAGUUAUCAAUAGCAAUCUACGUGAGAAUACACGUACUGUUAUAUUACAAAGUGAC